CACAUCUCAGUUUCUGGUCACCCUGAGAUCAUCGAACAACAAGUGAUCUCUACUCCCAACGUAGGGCUCGCACUCACGGCCUGGAGGUCAAGAGUCGUGCUCUCUACUGACCGAGCGGGCCAGGGGCCCCUGGAAUCGCAUCCUAAGACUCGGAUAGGAUCAGACAGCCUGGAGACACUCAGAUCCACUUCUCGGGAGCCACCCGAGCCCCUCAGAAACCGUGAGCCUGAUACCUUCCUUCCAGAGGUCGCCGCGGCCUCACUGGGCGAGUCAAGAGUGCCACCUCCUGGCGGAUGAAACCGAGAGUCAGCUGCUUAACCCCAGCGAGCCUCCCAGGUUGCCCCUACGAGGGCUGACGACAGUGACCACGUCUGUCUACCUGGCGAGGCAGAAACAAUUCCAGGUUGCUGAACCCUGGUUUUCCACACUGCGGACGACAGGAUAUCACCCCCUCCCCCUCUUUCAACCUGACCCAGGAAUUCCCUUACUCUGAGCCAAGGACAGG